rnacentral:rRNA from 1 species
AUUGAACGCUGGCGGCAGGCCUAACACAUGCAAGUCGAGCGGAGCGGCGGACGGGUGAGUAAUGCCUAGGAAUCUGCCUGGUAGUGGGGGAUAACGUCCGGAAACGGGCGCUAAUACCGCAUACUAUCAGAUGAGCCUAGGUCGGAUUAGCUAGUUGGGGGGGUAGAGGCCUACCAAGGCGACGAUCCGUAACGGGUCUGAGAGGAUGAUCAGCAACACUGGAAUGAGGACACGGUCCAGCCUCCUCCGGGAGGAGGCAGUGGGGAAUAUUGGCAAAUGGGGAAAAGCCUAAUCCGGCACUGCCGGGUGUGUGAAGCAGGUCUUCGGAUUUUAAACCACUUUAAGUUGGACGGCGUUACCAACAGAAUAAGCCCCGGCUAACUUCGUGCCAGCAGCCGCGGUAAUAC